GAGUUUGAUCCUGGCUCAGGAUGAACGCCGGCGGUGUGCCUAAUACAUGCAAGUCGAACGCGUUGGCCCAACUGAUUGAACGUGCUUGCACGGACUUGACGUUGGUUUACCAGCGAGUGGCGGACGGGUGAGUAACACGUAGGUAACCUGCCCCAAAGCGGGGGAUAACAUUUGGAAACAGAUGCUAAUACCGCAUAACAAUUUGAAUCGCAUGAUUCAAAUUUAAAAGAUGGCUUCGGCUAUCACUUUGGGAUGGACCUGCGGCGCAUUAGCUUGUUGGUAGGGUAACGGCCUACCAAGGCUGUGAUGCGUAGCCGAGUUGAGAGACUGAUCGGCCACAAUGGAACUGAGACACGGUCCAUACUCCUACGGGAGGCAGCAGUAGGGAAUCUUCCACAAUGGGCGCAAGCCUGAUGGAGCAACACCGCGUGAGUGAAGAAGGGUUUCGGCUCGUAAAGCUCUGUUGUUAGAGAAGAACGUGCGUGAGAGCAACUGUUCACGCAGUGACGGUAUCUAACCAGAAAGUCACGGCUAACUACGUGCCAGCAGCCGCGGUAAUACGUAGGUGGCAAGCGUUAUCCGGAUUUAUUGGGCGUAAAGCGAGCGCAGGCGGUUUGAUAAGUCUGAUGUGAAAGCCUUUGGCUUAACCAAAGAAGUGCAUCGGAAACUGUCAGACUUGAGUGCAGAAGAGGACAGUGGAACUCCAUGUGUAGCGGUGAAAUGCGUAGA
rnacentral:rRNA from 1 species